rnacentral:lncRNA from 1 species
AAGAGAAAUAAGGAUUUUGGGAAGAUAGACCGUCGGUUUGGAGAAGAGGAUUUGAAGCUAGGGUAAGUUUGAUCCACCCAAACGAGGAAGAAAAGGAACAGGGAUUUAGUUUCUAAAAGGAUGAUUUGAAGGGGGGAAACCCGAUGGGAAGAAGGAUUUUAAAAGAAUUUUUACAAUUGAGAGAGUGGAGAGGGAGGAGAUUUUUGUUUGGUGGGAUGAG